GACGGAAGGUGCAAGCGUUGCUCGGAAUCACUGGGCGUAAAGGGUGCGUAGGCGGCCUGGUAAGUCUGGCGUGAAAGCCCAGGGCUCAGCCCUGGAAGGGCGCUAGAAACUGCGAGGCUCGAGUGCCGGAGGGGAGAGUGGAAUUCCUGGUGUAGCGGUGAAAUGCGCAGAUAUCAGGAAGAACACCCGUGGCGAAGGCGGCUCUCUGGGACGGUACUGACGCUGAGACGCGAAAGCGUGGGGAGCGAACAGG
rnacentral:rRNA from 1 species